AGAUGGAAAUGCACCAGGAAGAAAUAGUGCUUAAGGAACAACAGCUCAGCCAUAUCAGCAAAGAAGUGCUUGUAUAUCAGCAGCGAAAUAGAGACUAUAUCUCUGGGCUGAAGAAGAAUAUUGAUGAGGUGUCAGCCCAGAAUGCUUGGCUAAGUAUGGAGCUGAGCCACAUUGAAGCAAAGGUUACAGUUCUCAAGGACCAAGUAGAAAUAUAGACUAAUUUUCAUUUGUGCGAUUGAUUUCUGCAACUUCAACUGUGUGCUUCAACUGGAACAACAUUUUCCGGCAAUAAUUUGUGAACUUAUGUUGAAUUAUUUAAGUUAUGACACCUUUGUAUGAGAAAGUUAUUAGGAGCCAUGUACGUACUUUUAUGUUACUUUUCACCACAAAGAAAUCACUAUUGUAUCUAGUAUUAUACAUAUAUCACUGAAGGGUAGUUUUGCAGAUAAAAAUAAAAUAAGUUGCAGUAUAUUAAGUUGAUGAAUUGGGUAUUUUCAUGGUUAAGAAUAGUUUUAGACAUGACUGGACCAUAAGUUGCACGCUGUACUCCUUGAAUAUACAUAGGCUUUUAUCCAUAUAUCAGGGAAAGUUUUAGCGAGUCAUCCUCUCACACUUGUUCCUAACUAAUUUCAUCAUACGGCAACUUGCCUCGAUAGACAUUAUUUCUUCUGACACGAGAAUCGUUUAAUAUUUAGGUACAGUUAGCAGUUUUCCAUAAUUUGAGCUCUUGUCAGAAAGCUGGUACCACACUCACACUGGUUUUGCAUAAAAUUCUGUAUUAGAGGUAAAAUAAAUGAAGGGCUGAGCUACAGACUUUCAACUAGCUU